AUACCCACCUUUUCUUUCUACCUACCUCUAGCAAAUCCCGGUGGGAUUUCUGGAUACUUAAAUCUGCCUGACUUGGAUUCCCAAGGAUGUUGAGAUGAAAUGGGACAGAAGCCAAGAGAACUAAAGAAUGCAAUCAGGGACGCGGGGAGGCAAAGCCAGCUCUUCAAUGUGUAAUGUUGGGAAUCUUGCCAAGGGGGCUGAUGCCUGUCGUCUGAUGAUGCCAUGUGAAGACUUUAAUAAGCUGACAUUUCCUGUUGCUGAGCUGCCAUGUCUGCAGGCCAAACCAAACAGUUUGUGCUCUUUGAAUCACAGUCUAUGUUUUUGUCUCUCUUCCUUCCUUCUCUUGAUCCAGUCCUCAGGUCUUCUCACUUCUGUUUCUCAAUCUAUCCUGUGUAACUGUGUAGUACAAGGGUCAGAAGGCUAAUGCUGCCUUCCAACCAGACUGAACCGCUAAAAAC
rnacentral:lncRNA from 1 species